UGAUCUUCCAACAUUGUACGACAACCAAGUUCUGUCGCAAAGCUUCACUUUCCAGGAAUCUGAACUACUUACUGCACCAACGGAGGAUUCUAAAAGAGAAGAAACCAAGUCUCUUUCAUGCGAACGAGAAUUUAAACGAGCUUCCCAUUUAAAGACCCACAUGCGAAGUAAUUGUGGAACUAAUAAAUCCCACGUUUGCCCUAUCUGCACCAAAUCAUUCGAAACCGCUCAAGCUUUGACGGUAAGUUGUUUGAAUCCGCUAACGUACUUAAGGAAAGCCUUUUAUUGACACGUCAUUUGA